rnacentral:rRNA from 1 species
AUUGAACGCUGGCGGCAGGCCUAACACAUGCAAGUCGAACGGUAACAGGAAGCAGCUUGCUGCUUUGCUGACGAGUGGCGGACGGGUGAGUAAUGUCUGGGAAACUGCCUGAUGGAGGGGGAUAACUACUGGAAACGGUAGCUAAUACCGCAUAACGUCGCAAGACCAAAGAGGGGGACCUUCGGGCCUCUUGCCAUCGGAUGUGCCCAGAUGGGAUUAGCUAGUAGGUGGGGUAACGGCUCACCUAGGCGACGAUCCCUAGCUGGUCUGAGAGGAUGACCAGCCACACUGGAACUGAGACGCGGUCCAGACUCCUACGGGAGGCAGCAGUGGGGAAUAUUGCACAAUGGGCGCAAGCCUGAUGCAGCCAUGCCGCGUGUAUGAAGAAGGCCUUCGGGUUGUAAAGUACUUUCAGCGGGGAGGAAGGGAGUAAAGUUAAUACCUUUGCUCAUUGACGUUACCCGCAGAAGAAGCACCGGCUAACUCCGUG